rnacentral:rRNA from 1 species
UACGAAGGGAGCUAGCGUUGUUCGGAAUUACUGGGCGUAAAGGGCGCGUAGGCGGCUUCGAUAGUCGGGCGUGAAAUGCCUGGGCUCAACCCAGGAAUUGCGUUCGAUACUGCGAGGCUUGAGUGUGGGAGAGGAUGGUGGAAUUCCCAGUGUAGAGGUGAAAUUCGUAGAUAUUGGGAAGAACACCAGCGGCGAAGGCGGCCAUCUGGACCACAACUGACGCUGAGGCGCGAAAGCGUGGGGAGCGAACAGG